rnacentral:rRNA from 1 species
GUGCAGCAGCCGCGGUAAUACGGGGGUGCUAGCGUUGUUCGGAAUUACUGGGCGUAAAGCGCAUGUAGGUGGUUUAUUAAGCAGAAUGUGAAAUCCUCAGGCUCAACUUGAGAACUGCAUUCUGAACUGGUAGACUUGAGUAUGGAAUGGGGAAACAGAAUUCCAGGUGGAGGGGUGAAAUCCGUAGAGAUCUGGAAGAAUACCGGUGGCGAAGGCGGUUUCCUGGUACAUAACUGACACUGAGAUGCGAAAGCGUGGGGGAGCAAACAGGAUUAGAUACCCUGGUAGUCCACGCCCUAAACGAUGGAUACUAGAUAUUGGGAGGUUUUCUUUCCAGUAUCGAAGCUAACGCGUUAAGUAUCCCGCCUGGGGAGUACGGUCGCAAGAUUAAAACCUUAAAGUGAAGUUGACGG